GUUAAACAAGUGCUUGAAGGCAGUAUGCUUGGUAAAAGUCAUCGCCAUUCUCUAAUCUUGAGUACCCAGGGACACGAUACACUGCGGAAGGCUGCAGGGACCUCUGCCCAGGAAAGCCAGGAGCCAGAAAAACUUCAUCUCUUUUACAAGAAACAUUGAGAUUCCUGUAAAAUUAAGAAAUCACACAAUUUGAUGGUCUACAUUAUCUAAAGCAAAUGAGACUUCUAUUUGGAACAAAGACUACCUUGUUGGGAAAUGAGUCUGCAAGUUAAAGUGUUUUCUGUUUUCUAAGGAUAAUGGUCUCCAGCUUCGUCAAUGUUCCUGCAAAGGACAUGAUGCUGACUUUGAAGAUGCAAGCUUCCACAUCUACAGCCUCAAGGAAACAAAUUCAGCCAACCAACUGAGGGAGCUUUCCUUGUCCUGCCUCAAGAUGAGAUCACAGUCUGCCCAACACCAUGAUUUAGGCCUUGUGACACCUGGUAUGGAAGACCCAGUUAAGUUCUCUCCAAACUCUUGACCCACAGAACCUGUGAGAAAAUAUAUGGAUAUUAUUUUAAACUGCUAAAUUUGUAGUAAUUUGUUAUGCAGCAAUAAAAAAAACUAAUGCAAGGAGAUAUCAAUUAUUGUAAAAAGCUUAGCUUUUGUUUUAAAAUAUAGUUCACCAGUAGUAAGUUACUAAUAAGUAACUAAACAAAUAAAAGCAAGCCAUUUACAAAUCAAUAAUAAGAGUAAGUCAUGAACUAAAGAUUGUAAUUAAUCAAUUUCUGUACGCCUGUAAUGAAAAUAAAGGAGGAAAAGAAAAUGAAAGAAAA
rnacentral:lncRNA from 10 species